AGUGUCACUCUCACCUUUGACCUCUACUCUGACUUGAUUCUCAUCUCUUCCUGCGAUGUUGCUGACUACACACAACUUGUGGGCAUGAUCUCCAAAAACGUACUCUCAAUUGGUUCCCCGUUGAUGAACCAGUUGACUGUGGGACGAGGAGCCCCAUCUGAACGACAGACCAAACGUCCAUUUUCUUCCGGGGCCAGGACCAAGUCAGUGGGCUUCUCCAACCAGAAUGGAGCCGCUGCUCAAUGCAUAGAUGUCCAGUGUCCCUGAGCGCCUUCGCAUUGAUGUCUGAGGGUCACGUGCCACGUUGAAAUACUUCCCAUUCCGCCUCCAUGAGAAACUUGAGCAAAACGUGUGAAGCAAGACAGAAAAAUCAGUGAAGUAGUUUGCAGAUACAUUUUGCUCUCUGGCUGUUCGCUGACUUUGACUACGCCUCUGUGACCUGCCAAGAUGUUCUGGAGUUGCGACAAGAAGAUUGGCAUUCACAGCUAGAGCGUCCUGUGGUGCACUCCUCCCCACGCCCAGUCCACUUAAGGCGAUUCCUGGCAAAGAUGGCGUAGGAUUUGUCCAUAAAUGGCCUCACAGGUGGCCACAUCAUGAAGCGACCCAGCCAGCCGAGGCCCACGGCACCGUAC